rnacentral:lncRNA from 1 species
GCUUUCAGAGACACCUCCUCUGAGAUGUAACAUCUUCGAGUCAUUUUAGUUCAGGGACUAUUUAUUAAUGUACACUCAUGAUGAAUGCUGGCUGCCUCUAGAACAGGAGUCAAGGAGAUUAAAAGCUCCUGUCUCAUGAACCUACGCUGUGGUCCCAGUCCCUAGAGGGACAGAGAAACUACCUGAGCUUGAGGAGUGAAGGGGAGGCUACCUGAGUCUGGAUGGCAGCACGCAUCUUCAGAAAAGGGAAUCUGUCACUCAAAUUCCCAGGAAGAGGUGAGGUGAGAUGGCCAGGGCUGUGGCUACCUUUCUAGAACUUUCUCUUAGGCAAGGACUUGCUCUACAGCCUGCACUUGGUGUGCUGUCUGUGACAAGCAGGAGUCUUGUCCUAUCCCCUGGUCCUUGUCUUCUUGCUAGAUAGCCAGAUCUUCAAAGGAGGCAGACAGUCAGUGUUCUGAAGGAACACUGUCUGGACACAUAGGACCACAGCCAGACACGUGUCCAUUGACCUUGUUGGAGCUUGAUUCUGUUGCUGAACUGGAGGGAUUUCAGGCUCAGAGCAAGUGUCACACCAACUGAUUGAAGCACAUGGAACUGACUGUAGCUUCUGUUGCGUCCAUUUGAAGGAACUCACUCUUCAGAUGCUGGAAUCAACGUUUCUACAGCCCACUUGGUGACAAGAGGUAGAUGCCACCUUGUGUGUGCUUGCUCCUGGAGUCUUAAUACAGGAAGCUCUUGCUUACAUGAGCAGGGGACGGAGCAGUGCACAGCCCUGCUCUUGACAGGACUACAUUCUCCCUGUCUGCAGACCCACAAAGAAGCUGCUGCCACCGCCUCCAGUGCUCGCCACACCGGGGGAUGACACAGAUGACUGAUUAAACAAACAAAAAGUAAAGCACUUAAUUUAA